UAAUACGGGGGGUGCAAGCGUUAUUCGGAUUUAUUGGGCGUAAAGAGCGCGUAGGCGGUUUAUCAAGUCAGAUGUGAAAGCCCUGGGCUCAACCUGGGAAGUGCAUUUGAAACUAGUAGACUUGAGUAUGGGAGAGGGGAGUGGAAUUCCUGGUGUAGAGGUGAAAUUCGUAGAUAUCAGGAGGAACACCGGUGGCGAAGGCGACUUCCUGGACCAAUACUGACGCUGAGGCGCGAAGGCGUGGGGAGCAAACAGGAUUAGAUACCCUGGUAGUCCACGCAGUAAACGGUGAUCACUAGGUGUAGCGGGUAUUGACCCCUGCUGUGCCGCAGUUAACGCAUUAAGUGAUCCGCCUGGGGAGUACGAUCGCAAGGUUAAAACUUAAAUGAAUUGACGG
rnacentral:rRNA from 1 species